rnacentral:lncRNA from 1 species
GAACAGACCCAUUAUCUGGUCUGCAUACUGCAUAAACGAAUACUUAGUUGACUCCGACGAGCUAAGCUUCUGAACAAGGACCUGUAAACACCCACAAAGAAGCCCUUGUUGUUUCUCCCUCUCAUCAGAUGAAAGGUUCUGACCCUCGAGUGUAUUGUGAAGUUCCAUCAUUAUCACAGGAACUAGUUGCAACACCAUAGGAGUAGUUUCUUCUGUUGAACACCUUACCACCUCAUUAAGUGUUUCAUAGGCAGCAGUCCUGAGCCGAUCAUCUGCAUCUUUCCGAUGAGUGACUGUGAGAAGUGCCUGAACAAUAUCCUGGAAGUAUGGGGUCAAAGGAGAUGAUGGGCCCACAUCUUCAUAACCCUGAGCAAGAAAAUAUAGUGCCCCACAAGCCUUCCCAGCCACAUUUGGCGCAUCACUCAUACUUUGGAGUAGUACAGUAAUUAUUUGUUGGCAAUUGGCCUGCGUAAUGAUUGGUUCAUCUAUUGUUGAACCAUGAAGAAACUCAAAGAUACGACCAAGAGUCCAGGCCGUGGUAUCUUUUACAUGAGUAUUGAGGUCCUUUGUUAGAGCUGUUAACAUGAAGUUCAAGGCAACAUUAACAAUUGGUGUCAACUUGUCUGGAGAAGGACCUUCCAAAAUUGACCCAAAAGCAUAAGUAGCUGCCUCUCUUUGCCUCCAAUCAGGUUUUGUUAUGUUCUCUUCAAUGAAUGGCAUAACAAGGGGAACAAUAUCAUCUCCCACAGUACGUGCAACAAGUCCAAGACAUGUUCCUCCUGCCAUUGCAAUAUUCCAAGCAGUGUCAUCUUUGUCCUGAUCUUCCUCUUGCUUCAAAAGUGUUUCCAACAAGAUUGGUACCAGAACAGCCAAAGCCUGUUUGACAAAAUAGGAGCAUUGAACUGCAUCCGAGUCCCCAGUAAAAUCAACACCAUACUCUUCUAAGAUGUCUAUCUCCUCCUCACAAAUUGAAUUCCAGAAUUCAAUUGCUUGGAGAGCUACAUCUUCUUCAUCUUCCCUCACGGCUUUUGAUGUGAUAUUGAAGAUGUCUUGCAUAUAUGGAGUUAGCUUCUCAUAAUACAUUGAUGCAAUAGAUACCAAACACUCAAAAGCUGCCAGGCGGAUCUUCAAUUCUUUCGACAAAGCAGCCUCACAGACAACUCUCAUGAUAUAAUCACGUUCCAUGUCAUUGCUGAAAUUUGCUUGAGCAAAGCUCAGUGCAUUAUAUAAUGCUUGAAUAGCAGCCAGUCUCACAUCAGUGUUUGCUUCAGAAGAACUCAUUCCUUGAACUACAACAGUCAAGAUUUUAUUCACGUUAUCUUGAUCUACGGCAUCAGGAGAAACUUCCUCGCACAAAUACCCAAGAGUCUCCAAUGUUGCUUCCUUGACAUGAGCAGGUAGCUGAUGAAUAUUCGACAAAAGGGAUCCAAUCAGUUCAGGCCACUGUUUCUGGGGGAGCUCAAUUCCAGCAACUUUGGCAAUUACUUGAGAUGCAGGUUUGCGAGCAUCAGGUACAAGAGACGAGAGUGUCUUCAACAAGCAUGAUUUUAUCUGAGCCUUCACAGUAGCAUCCAACAUCAACCAUCUUUGAACAAGCUCAAACUUCCUAUGCUGCUCCUUAGCAUCCAGUGCAUUUUUCAACAUCAAACCAGCUAAUCUGCGGCUAUCAGCAGGUUUAUCUUCAUUGGCAAGCUCACCAGAGAGAGAAAACAAGAAAGCAGGGAGAUUCUGCUCUUGGAACUGAUUCAAGCUCUCCUCAGCUUGCUUCUGAACAUUGCGAUCAAUCGAUUGUGCAUUCAGAAGCACCUGCGUCACCUCCAUGGCCAUGAUCUAUCUGUACAAUUGGAACAUGUAAGCGUGGACUGAUAAUGCUACAUAAAAGUUCAGGAGCAGGCAGUACGUAUCGAUAACUAGUAUUAUAUCGUCAAGAGAAACAUAACAAAAGGGUUACAUCCUAUAGCAGCUGACAAGACCCACCUUUCAAUAAGCACACCCACGAUCAGAUAGGUUGGUUCAGAUAAAAAAACGAAUGAAAACGAAUUCAAAACAUAUUUUCAAGUGAAUAUCAGUCUACUGAAAGAGCUCUGCUUAGAGUUGGUUGGAAAAGAUUGCAAUUUUUUCGAGCGGAUAAAUCAUAUCAAAUUACCCAAAUCAAAAUUGACUGAGUCCAACAUCUCGAAGUAAGAUUCCACAAAUAAAAUAGCGAACAAGAAAUUGAAAUCAACAACCAUAUAUCAACAUCGCAACUAACACUGUAAGUUAAGCACAUCCCCAACUAAGAAGGAGUACCCAAUCCGGAUCAUGGCGAAAGAGGAAGAAAAAAACUCGGAGAACCGAAACCCAAUCACUACAAGCUAAUACAUAGUUCGACAAAGAGGCAUUCAGAUUGAGAAGUAUGGUAAGAAGAGCAGACGAGCAGGAUAGUGCGAACCAAACAAAAAAAAGCCGAAUCGGAUAGUAGGAACACUAGAAAAAGAUCAAACUUCCGCCCAAAAACAAAUGAAUAGAGAAUCGAAAAGCGGAAGUAGAAUCAAGGCAAGGAGAGUGCUACUUACGGAAUUUGAAAAGCUGAAAGGGAGGAAAAUUGUCCGGUGGCAGAUCAGAGAUGCGACGGCGAGGCUGAACCCUAGUGGGGAGGCGCGGAGCUACAGCGAGAGAGAGAGAGAGAGAGGAGGCGGACACAAAAGCAAAGUUGAAUUUAUGAGCACAAUCUUUACAGCAAAAUCAAUUUUUCUAAAGGAGUCAGGAAAUGAAUUUUUACUCAAAAAAAACAAACGUCUAAUAACAUUUUAAAUACUUAAAUAUAUAACCAUAAUAACAAGUUAAUUAGUAAUUACAUGAGUAAUUUAACUAUUCGAUUAAUUAUUAAUAAUAUUACUAAUUAGUGUAGCUAAUAUAAGAACAAUAACAACACACAAAUUGGAAAAUUGGAAAGAAAAAACUAAGUUGAGAUAUGUUGGUUAGACUUUGUUCGCUUUAUUACGUCUGGCGAAGACGCUGAUGGCGAGUAAUGGAUGUUUAGCUUGGACAUCUUAUCCUCACCUCCAUCGUUUUCGUCGAACAAUGGACGUUUCACAGUUGCAUUCCAACUUAUUUCUUUUUAUUUGUUAUUGCAAUUUGCAAGGGAUCAUCGAAUGCAGGAGCUGCUUUAGAUGGUGAGAUCUAUGCUUCGGCAAUUCGCGGCAGGUUGGAGCGUGUUGUUUGAGGAGGUGCGGAAGGAGCCACCACAUUGUUGGGGUUGGGAUUAUUGCGGUGUAGUUCGGAGGAGGAUAGUGGUUGCCUGUGGUGGUGCUUGGUGGAGGUGGACAUUGUUAUCGAAGAAGGUUCAAAUCGUCGGAAAAUUGUUGAGAUCAAAUAGGGUAAUUAAGUCAUUUAAUCUCUUUUAAGACGAAAAAAUUUCAAAAUUGUAAGGCAAAGAAUAAUAACACCCAAAUUUUACCAUCACACUACUUUCUUUCAUCAAAUACUCCAUUUUUUCUUUCUGGUUCCAUUAUUUACUUGGAAUUGCAUCUCUCAAGUAUUUACUUGUCAAUUGUAAAUGAUGUAUACUUGUCAAUAGUUUAGUAACAGUAAGGUGACAUUGGUUCUACUGCACAAAUGUUACUCAGACAGAUCUACUUCAUUUCUAUCCAAAAGGAAUCGCUGCUAAUUGCUAGGAUUAGCUACUAUGGAUGGAGAGGAAUCAAUAUUCGACAAUGUGUAUCUAGCCCGAACAAUUUUUAAAUUUGAUGCAGGAUCAUAAGGAUCCGCGAUGUAAUAUCCCCGUUCAUUGUCCAAAACCUUGGUAGAUAGUUCAUUUGGGACAGGGGCACACUCUUUGAACGGGAAUUUUGAAGGUUCGACCUCGAUUGAACCUCUAACCUAUAAACUUCUAGCUCAUUUGGUUCGACGUCCGGUUUGAUUCUAAUAACAACGAACUCAACAACAUCAGUAAGACUAUCAAGGUCUCCGACUCUUAUGUACUCUUAUAAAUAUCUAGGCCAACACAUGAGCAGAUUAUUGAAUACCGUGCAACUAACGCGUUACGCCGAAAUGAACGAUAACCCAUAUGAGUAUUGGCUCAGAGCAGACUACUUAACUUAUGGAUCAUUGUCAAUAACUAAUCAUAAUUUAUAACAAGUUAUAAGAUCCAAUAACCUGUUAUAACACAAGCGAGCCGUGAAAGUGUCUUUUGAUGCUUACCAGAAACUCGCCAAUGACACAGGGAUCACAACCGAAACUCGUCGAACAAUAAGGUAAGUGUCGUUGGAAAAAGUUGCUAGCAUAAAAAGAGAUAUUUCUGUCAGUUAUAAAACAGAGAAUUCAGUAAAUCUUUAAUCUCAGAUUAAUUCUGUCAGUAAAAUCACAUAUAUAUAUACCAUUCAAUCAAAGAAAAGAUAGCACAAACUCAAUAAUUAACAGAUGCUGCAAAGGAAAUUCUGACAAUGAAUGAAUGAAUGCAUGAUGUAUUGAUAUAUAAUCUUUAGACUUGGAGUGCUUUAUAGAGAGAUAACAAAAGUUUCGAAAACAAAAACAAAUGAAUAAUGCAAUGCAAGACUCUUCAAGUAUAUUCCGCACAAAUGAAGGUAGAAUGGUACAACCUGACCAUAUGACAACAGAUACAAACAAUGACAGAUGCAGUAAAACACAGGAACACCCAUCGAGACCUUACGACUUGGAACGACGGACCAACCCUACAUGCAAUCGUGCGACGAUUCCUUGCGCCAGACUCAGCACCUAUCAUCAACAAACUCAAAUGUCCAUGACCGACUUGCACCAACUCCAUGCAAUAUGAAUGAUGACACUUUUUCGACCCUUAUUUCCAACUGGUUGUUGACUUCAAAACGAUGUUUGCAGCCAAUCAAAUGCCUCCGAGCCGAGCCGACCCCUCGAGCGGGUGCUGAUUCAAGAGCUAGUGACAAAACUGGACACCCCGAGUAACUUGUGUUACUAGAAAAAUGCCGAGACAAACCCAGGACCUGACUGACUCAAGAUACCCCAAUGCAUGCAUGCAGGACUCUAAAACGAAAGACCAUGCCGAGCUUGGCAAAUAACCUCUCAAGCAGAUAUGGCACGAGUGAUCGCCAGCUUCGUCCAUUCAGCAGAUUCCUUUAUCGAGCCGUCUUCUGAAGAUAAGCAUUCAUUCAAAAAGUCUCUGCUAGAGAGAGAAUUCUGUAUCAUAGUUCCGGCAUUGCUUCCAAGUGUGUCUGCCAAGUCUCCAAGUACGCCAAUAGCUGUUUUCAUCACCAAAUCAUCCCUGCAUGAAUUCAACCAAGUUAAAAAGGUCAAUUUACAGUCAGUGACAAACACUGAUAUUUUUCAUCGAGUGCAAAAUUGAGAAUCAAGAUAAAGAUAGGCUACUCACAUGUCUUUCUCCAUGUAUAUGCUAUCCAAGAACUGGAGAAUGUGUGGUGCAUAAGGGAUCAACAGCUGGGUUUUAGUUGAGUUCUUAAACCCUUGAAAUAUUCCAGAAUAAGCCUCCAAGAUUCCGUUUCUGAGAGAAUUCGUAUAUUCGACCAUGUCAUCAUCAGCACCUGUAGUAUGAGCAGACAAUUCGGCAGCACUUUGGAGCAUUGGCAUGGCGUACAUCAGAUAUUUUUCAAAGUCUUGGCCUAUUGCCAGUGCAACGUCGCCAAGACAGGAGAAUAUAGGCGGCUUAACGGAUCGAUGCAACUGAUUGCUUGACAAAUCCUUCAGAAGCUGUGUCAUGAUCCCGUCACAAUAAGGUAGAACUUUAUUUUCCAACGCCCUGCAAAUAUCGCCUACCACUCCAACAGUAACAGCACACACCUGGUAUUCUUCAAAAUUUUGAAGGCCGAUCUCCAAGUACUUGUAAAGUUCUGGCAUGUACUUGUCAAAUUUUGGGCCACAUGCAUAGGCAAGGGCUCCAAUAGCAAGCACGGCUUCCUCAUGCACAGUUGCGCUUUUAGAAGCAAACACCCUAAGGAACAGACCCAUUAUCUGGUCUGCAUACUGCAUAAAAAGAUACUUAGUUGGCUCCGACGAGCUUAGCUUCUGAACAAGGACCUGUAAACACCCACAAAGAAGACCUUGUUGUUUCUCCCUCUCAUCAGAUGAAAGGUUCUGACCCUCGAGUGUAUUGUGAAGUUCCAUCAUUAUCACAGGAACAAGUUGCAACACCGUAGGAGUAGUUUCGUCUGUUGAACACCUAACCACUUCAUUAAGUGUUUCAUAGGCAGCNN